CCUACGGGAGGCAGCAGUGGGGAAUAUUGCACAAUGGGGGAAACCCUGAUGCAGCGACGCCGCGUGAGUGAAGAAGUAAUUCGUUAUGUAAAGCUCUAUCAGCAGGGAAGAAAAUGACGGUACCUGAGUAAGAAGCCCCGGCUAACUACGUGCCAGCAGCCGCGGUAAUACGUAGGGGGCCAGCGGUAUCCGGAUUUACUGGGUGUAAAGGGAGCGUAGACGGCAGUGCAAGUCUGGAGUGAAAGGCGGGGGCUCAACCCCCGGACUGCAUUGGGAACUACCGGGCUGGAGUGCCGGAGAGGUAGGCGGAAUUCCUGGUGUAGCGGUGAAAUGCGUAGAUAUUAGGAGGAACACCAGUGGCGAAGGCGGCCUACUGGACGGUGACUGACGCUGAGGCUCGAAAGCGUGGGGAGCAAACAGGAUUAGAUACCCUUGUAGUC
rnacentral:rRNA from 1 species